UGGGGAAUAUUGCACAAUGGGCGCAAGCCUGAUGCAGCCAUGCCGCGUGUAUGAAGAAGGCCUUCGGGUUGUAAAAUACUUUCAGUCGGGAGGAAGGUGGUAAGGUUAAUAACCUUAUCAAUUGACGGUACCGACAGAAGAAGCACCGGCUAACUCCGUGCCAGCAGCCGCGGUAAUACGGAGGGUGCAAGCGUUAAUCGGAAUUACUGGGCGUAAAGCGCACGCAGGCGGUUGAUUGAGUCAGAUGUGAAAUCCCCGGGCUUAACCCGGGAAUUGCAUCUGAUACUGGUCAGCUGGAGUCUUGUAGAGGGGGGUAGAAUUCCAUGGGUAGCGGUGAAAUGCGUAGAGAUGUGGAGGAAUACCGGUGGCGAAGGCGGCCCCCUGGACAAAGACUGACGCUAGGGUGCGAAGGCGUGGGGAGCAAACAGG
rnacentral:rRNA from 1 species